rnacentral:lncRNA from 1 species
ACCUGUCUCUGUGGUCUGUAUAGAGCACUGCUCAGCAGCAAUUGCUCUGCAAAGCCUUAAGUUCCGCCGAAUACCAACCUGGCUCGCCUCGGGCAGUGCUGAAGGCGACAACCUCCGGAGAGCUUGUGCAAAUAUAUACUUUGAAGUCUGGCGGGUACCCCCCAACUUCCGGUUCCAGGAUCGCCCUUUCUGGAGGUGACACUUCUUCAUGCGUGCUCUCUCUAUCCGCAGGAGCUGAGAGCAACUGUCCCCAGAAUCCCUGGACCCUCUUUCAUGGCCUCAGACAUCUGGCUCAGCAUGUGAUUCAAGCCACAGAAAGCAGGCAUCCUGAAACCCUAGGAGGAUGUACCAUACUACACUCUACAGGACUAUGAAGUGUCAAGGAAAGCCGGGCCUCUGGGGCUGGUGUCUGUACAGCUCUCUACAAAUUGAAUCUUUGUGGCUGCAGAAUGGCUAUUAAGUUUCUGGGGCUAGUGCUCGGGUUACAAGUGUCUGUGAAGGAUGACUUCAAACUCCUUGAGUCUGCACCUGGGUGCGGUGGAUAACAGCCGCAGGAGCCUGAUGGCUACAGGUCUGGAAGAGCAGCUGUCAGGAUCGGGAGAAGGGAUGCUGAUGGCCAACACAGUCCUAGUUUUCAUGCCAUUGUGGGUGUGGUCCAUGCUGUUCCUCAUUAGUAUCUGCGACCAUCUGUGCUGGCAGGUGCUUCCUGCUUUGUCAUGCUUCUGUGUCUGGCUGACUACCUUGUUUCCAUCCUGGCACCUAGAAUUUUUAACUCCAGUAAAUGAACCACUUAAAGAACAGCAGCCAUUUCAUGACAUGGGCAUCAGUCUAGUAAAAACUCAGGGCAGGGCUUUGGACGGAUGCAAACGCAUCUUCCUACUAAGAAGAGCCUAAAAUGCACUUGACCUUGAUCACCACAGUCCUUUCCUGCGUGCAGCUGAUUGGGUGAGACGGUGAGUUCACAGGCUGCUUCUCUCUUACCUGAUGGCGACUUCUGUGCUGUUGCUUUGUGAACUAAGACAUCGUGGGAUGGUUUGAAAGUAUAUGGGGAUGGGCAAGUGUUACAUGAACAAGGCUUGAAAGCAAGAAGCAAAGGAGAGUGAGCGGUGCAUCCGCUUCCUUCUGUGCGGUUAGCGGAGUGGAACAGCCUCACUCCUCUUCUGGGCACCACCACGUCACAGAAGUGGUUCUUUGCUGCAUCCACUUUGCCGGUGAUGACAGACAUUUGCGUGUAGUGUCUUAGUGUCGUCCGGUAUAGGUGGGUACAUACUCAGUUGCAGCCCUUAAGUAGACCACUCCUUGGCUGAUUGCAUUUUUGCUUUUUAUGACUUCCUUUAAAACACUAAACUGAUGAACUUUAGUAGAGUGGUUGGAUGGUCUGGACAAUUGCUGGAGUUCGCUUUAGCUAGAAUGGUCUGUGGCUACUGGGAACUGUUUCUAGUUUCUGCUUCUGGGUCUGCUGGAAAGUCUGGUUUCACAAAUACAGAGAUCAAAUUCACCACUUAAUUUAUCAUUUAUUUAUUUGUUUAUUUAUUUAUUUUGAGACAGGGUCUCAUCAUGUAGCCCUGGCUGGUCUCAAACUCAUGGAGCUUUGAAAUAACAAUCUCGAAUACAAUCUUUUGGAACUUUGCCUUUCAAACGUCCUGAAGGACUUGCUAACUUGAAGCGGUACAAAGGGGAAUGGAGCUUGCUCAAAAAUGGUCAGAUUCACCAGUGGGACAAGGGGUGGUGCUUCAUAAAGAUUGCUCCCUGCCUAUGUCAUAGGCAUAGGAGUGUGUCUUCAGUGGCCCUCUCAUCACAGGGUAAACCUACCUACCUUCCUGACAGGGUGGCUCACUGUGAGUUCAAGGCCAGCCUGGUUUACAUAGGAGGGUGUAGGCCAGCAUGGGCUACUACGGUGAGACCCUGUCUCAAAACCAAGCAAAAACCAAUCAAAGUAUGCAAAACAGACCAACCUAAGACCUAACAGCAACAAAAGUGAGCUGCAAAAUUCUCAUUUCACCAGUGAGACUAGCCGUAUUUCAGUCACAACAGGUCCCCUUGGCCCCACCCCCACCCCCAAGAGACAGUAAUGGCAGUGUCUAAGUUUCUUGUCAUUUCUCA